rnacentral:tRNA from 1 species
GGAAUGUAGCUCAGUGGUAGAGUACUUGCCUGGCAUGCACAAAGACCUUGGAUUCAAUCCCUAGCACCA